rnacentral:lncRNA from 1 species
CCCGGCCCGGCCCCGUGCCCGACCCCGGCCCGCCCGACCCCUGCCCGCAGCGGGGCCGCGGUCCCAACCCCAUGUGUCCCACUUGUCUGGAUUAACAUUUGAAGUCUGGCAGUCUGGUCCUUUUCGUAGCUCCUGAGGAUUUUUAGAAGCAUGGGGAGCAUGGGAUGAGUGGACCUCUGGACCCACAAAACUCUGUGGAGAAUGCUGGCUGUGGAUAAAAACAUCUGGAAGUUUCUACCAUCUUUUUACCCUGUUUUUCCCUGGAUCACCCUGUGUCAUUUGUGGUCCUGCCCUGAGGAUUAUAGCAUACAGUCAUUUACUGGAAUACCUCCCCAUGCAUCUUCUUGAAAUGGAGCCAUUGCUUUACCCAGCUGGAAGAUAUUUUCUCUUCUCCCAGAGCUUUUCCAGUGCAGCAACACUCCUGUCCAUCAGGAUGCUGCUGCGUCACUUGCAUUCUUCACCCCAGCCCAGCAGUAACUCUUUCCAGACUACCAGCAGCCGUCCAGGCACUUACAUCCUGCUGCAUUCCCUCUCCAAGAGCUUUGUGCAUAGGGCAAGUGCAUUCCCUCUCCCUCAGCAGAGGAGCUGCCAGCUCAGAGGUGCCCAUCUUUCUGAAACAUGAAAAACACUCAUUUCUCUCUCACACCUUUUCAAAACUGGAGCAAAAAUAGAAAAGCAGUUACUGCUAUGUGAGAGAAUGAGAAUGGGAGGCUCUGGAUAAGCAUUUGUAAAAU